UGAUGGCGAGUGGCGAACGGGUGAGUAAUACAUCGGAACGUGCCCUGUAGUGGGGGAUAACUAGUCGAAAGAUUAGCUAAUACCGCAUACGACCUGAGGGUGAAAGUGGGGGACCGCAAGGCCUCAUGCUAUAGGAGCGGCCGAUGUCUGAUUAGCUAGUUGGUGGGGUAAAGGCCCACCAAGGCGACGAUCAGUAGCUGGUCUGAGAGGACGAUCAGCCACACUGGGACUGAGACACGGCCCAGACUCCUACGGGAGGCAGCAGUGGGGAAUUUUGGACAAUGGGCGAAAGCCUGAUCCAGCAAUGCCGCGUGUGUGAAGAAGGCCUUCGGGUUGUAAAGCACUUUUGUCCGGAAAGAAAUCGCACUUACUAAUACUAGGUGUGGAUGACGGUACCGGAAGAAUAAGGACCGGCUAACUACGUGCCAGCAGCCGCGGUAAUACGUAGGGUCCAAGCGUUAAUCGGAAUUACUGGGCGUAAAGCGUGCGCAGGCGGUUGUGCAAGACCGAUGUGAAAUCCCCGAGCUUAACUUGGGAAUUGCAUUGGUGACUGCACGGCUAGAGUGUGUCAGAGGGGGGUAGAAUUCCACGUGUAGCAGUGAAAUGCGUAGAGAUGUGGAGGAAUACCGAUGGCGAAGGCAGCCCCCUGGGAUAACACUGACGCUCAUGCACGAAAGCGUGGGGAGCAAACAGGAUUAGAUACCCUGGUAGUCCACGCCCUAAACGAUGUCAACUAGUUGUUGGGGAUUCAUUUCCUUAGUAACGUAGCUAACGCGUGAAGUUGACCGCCUGGGGAGUACGGUCGCAAGAUUAAAACUCAAAGGAAUUGACGGGGACCCGCACAAGCGGUGGAUGAUGUGGAUUAAUUCGAUGCAACGCGAAAAACCUUACCUACCCUUGACAUGCCACUAACGAAGCAGAGAUGCAUUAGUGCUCGAAAGAGAAAGUGACACAGGUGCUGCAUGG
rnacentral:rRNA from 1 species